UUUUUACUGAAUUUCCCACUUUUAGCAACCAAAUCCAUCACUCCUUGCCUCGAUAAUGGAUGAUUGUCACAACCCAAGAAAAUUCGGCCACGGAAUUUCUUUUUCAAGAUUGCAACAGAAAGGGAAGCUGCAUCCUCAUAAUGUAUGAGAUUGAGGAUGUGAUCUGCACGAAAUUCAACAGUCCCCUUCUCCAACCAGUAAACAUGUGCACCCCUAUCUGCUUUGUAAAGUCCUGCCAAUCUCAGGACAGAGCCAUUUCUCUCCAACACUUCUUUUUCUGCCUUUAGAAGCACAUCGGUCCUUGGGCUUCUCCCAAUCGGUACAACUGGAGAGUCCUCAUCACAUUGUCCAUUGUCAUUGCAAUCAUAUGGUGCAGAGCUUGAUGUAAACAAGAAAGAACCUUCUCCAUUCCAGCUCAAAGCAGCUUCCCUGACAUCACCAGGAUAGUCAGAGGUUUGGUAGGGAGGAGCGCAGAAAAUGACGUAAGGGAACUGGUGAAUUGGUUUAGUUUCCUUCAAAGAUGGAUUGAUCCCUAUUUUUAUCAGAUCAUCAUGGUGGUCUGUAGUCACUGUCUGCCCAUAAACUUGACACCCCGGAUGUUCCUGGCGCCAUUUCUCAGCAACUAAGCGACCAAGAACGCCUGGGCCAACAAUAAGCAGAUCAUUCUCUCCCACAAGACCAGAAGAUGCAGCCUCCAAUUCUUCAUUCGGCGCACCAAUCACAGAGGAGGCAGAAACUCGAAAUGGGUUGGCCAUGGAUGAAGAUAAUGUUGGUAAUAUUAGUCUGGUUUUGAGUCUUUUGGACGAGGAGAGCAUUGGGGAAGAGCGAUUUGAACAAGGGAGUGUGGAGUAAUAGUCAACAAUCACGAGGGGACGAGGUCCAACUCCGAGAGAUG
rnacentral:misc_RNA from 1 species